rnacentral:lncRNA from 1 species
GGGGGGUUGUCUGCUCUCAGGCCCCGCCUCCCCGGGGCCGGCUCGGGCCACUUCUUGCGCGCUGCCAGAAGGAGCUAUUUUGAGCAGGAGACUCUGCAUUCAAAAGACCACUCCCGGGCACUGCCUUCUACCAACUUCCCCAUCCAGCUCUGAUUGCAUCGGACCACUGUCUUCCCUCCAUGCCUCCAGCCCUGAGGUUGUCAACGGGGUGCUCCAGCCUCCAUGUGCACCCUGUGACUUCUUUCAUCCUAGUCCUUCUGACCCUCGUGGCUUCUCCUGCUCCAAGGCCAAGCUCGGGACCCUGUCAUCAUCCCCGGGGACAGGCCCCAUCUUAGAGAGGAUCCACCCAGCUCCCCGCUCCUGAGCCAUCUUCCAGCUAUCCCGCCUCGAGACUCCCACCGCACCUGCUCCUGGGCUGCAGCUGCACCCAACAAGUCAACAUGUGGAUUGCUUCUAGAAUUUGGAUAUUAUGAACACUGCUGUGCUGAACAUUCUUGUACACUUAUAUGGUUUGGCUGUGUCCCCACCCAAAUCUCAUCUUGAAUUGUAGCUCCCAUAAUUCCUAUGUGUCGUGG